GCAAGCCUGAAAUAGCAUGUGAAAACCCACAUUGUACAGUAGUACCUUUGAAGCAGCCUACUCUACACAUUGCAGACAAAGAUCCAAUCCCAGAGGAGCAGGAAUUAGAAGCUUAUGUAGAUGAUAUAGAUAUUGAUAGUGAUUUCAGAAAGGAUGAUUUUUAUUACUUGUCUCAAGAAGACAAAGAGAGACAGAAGCGUGAGCAUGAAGAAUCCAAGAGGGUGCUCCAAGAAUUAAAAUCUGUGCUGGGAUUUAAAGCUUCAGAGGCAGAAAGGCAGAAGUGGAAGCAACUUCUAUUUAGUGAUCAUGUGUUUUCUUCAUAUAGCUUUAAAAUUAUGCUAUUGACAUUAUGGGAAAGAUUUAUCAAUGAGAGAAAUGUGUCUCUUUUUCAGCCGUGUUGAAAUCCUUGUCUCCUGUAGACCCAGUGGAACCCAUAAGUAAUUCAGAACCAUCAAUGAAUUCAGAUAUGGGAAAAGUCAGUAAAAAUGAUACUGAAGAGGAAAGUAGUAAAUCCGCCACAACAGACAAUGAAAUAAGUAGGACUGAGUAUUUAUGUGAAAACUCUCUAGAAGGUAAAAAUAAAGAUAAUUCUUCAAAUGAAGUCUUCCCCCAAGGAGCAGAAGAAAGAAUGUGUUACCAAUGUGAGAGUGAAGAUGAACCGCAAGCAGAUGGAAGUGGUCUGACCACUGCCCCUCCAACUCCCAGGGACUCAUUACAGCCCUCCAUUAAGCAGAGGCUGGCACGGCUACAGCUGUCACCAGAUUUUACCUUCACUGCUGGCCUUGCUGCA
rnacentral:sRNA from 1 species